AAGUCGUAACAAGGUUUCCGUAGGUGAACCUGCGGAAGGAUCAUUAUCAAUUCUAGCAAGUAACCCUUUAGGGUUCUUACGCACGUAUUUAAAACCCACACUUUAUGAAAUUUUAUAUAUAUAUUUUACUUUUAAUAAGUAAUUAAAAGAUCA
rnacentral:misc_RNA from 1 species